AUGAAAAUGGCGAGGGCCCUGCUUGUCGCCCUUCUUCUUGUCUCGUGCUUUGUGGCGCUUGGCCUGUCCGGCCGCGCCGAUGCGGCGGCCGAGAGGAAGACCGUCGGUGUCUACGAGCUCAACAAGGGGGAUUUCUCCAUCAAGGUCACCAACUGGGGUGCCACCCUCAUGUCCGUGAUUCUCCUCGACUCGAGAGGAAACUUUGGGGAUGUGAUCCUGGGCUACGAUACGGUUGCUGAAUACAUGAAUGGCACCGCCUACUUCGGAGGGCUGAUCGGCCGCGUCGCCAACAGAAUCGCCAACGCCCGGUUCACGCUGGACGGGAAAACCUACCGGCUGGUUCCCAACGACGGCAACAACACGCUGCACGGUGGUCACCGGGGAUUCGACAAGGUCGUGUGGACGGUGAAGGAGCAUGUCGCCGGCGGCAGCUCGCCCUUCAUCACUCUCUACUACCAUAGCUUCGACGGAGAGCAAGGGUUUCCGGGCGACGUGGACGUGCACGUGACGUACCAACUCUCGAGCCCGCACGUGCUGAGCGUGCGCAUGAACGCGACGGCACGGGGCAAGGCCACCCCAGUGAACCUGGCGCACCACGCCUACUGGAACCUCGGCGGCGACGGCAGCGGCAACGUCCUUGGCGAGGAGGUCCGCCUCUUCGCCUCCCGGUACACGCCUGUGGAUGCCUCGCUCAUCCCGACGGGCCGCAUGGCGUCCGUGGCUGGCACACCCUACGACUUCCGCACGCCGGCCGCCGUGGGCUCGCGCAUCGGCGGCCUCCUGAGCCGGGGCGUCAACGGGUACGACAUCAACUACGUCGUCGACGGCAGGGGCCUGCGCCCGGUAGCGGUCGUCCGGGACGGCGCGUCCGGCAGGGCGAUGGAGCUGUGGGCGGACCAGCCCGGGGUGCAGUUCUACACGGCCAACGGGCUCAGCGGGGUGAGGGGGAAGGGUGGCAAGGUCUACGGCCACUACGGCGCGCUCUGCCUGGAGACGCAGGGGUUCCCCGACGCCGUGAACCGCCCGAGCUUCCCGUCGCAGAUCGUCCGGCCGGGGAAGGUGUACAAGCAUGACAUGGUGUUCAAGUUCUCCUUCUAG
rnacentral:rRNA from 1 species